GAUGAACGCUGGCGGCGUGCCUAAUACAUGCAAGUCGAGCGAACAGACGAGGAGCUUGCUCCUCUGACGUUAGCGGCGGACGGGUGAGUAACACGUGGAUAACCUACCUAUAAGACUGGGAUAACUUCGGGAAACCGGAGCUAAUACCGGAUAAUAUAUUGAACCGCAUGGUUCAAUAGUGAAAGACGGUUUUGCUGUCACUUAUAGAUGGAUCCGCGCCGCAUUAGCUAGUUGGUAAGGUAACGGCUUACCAAGGCGACGAUGCGUAGCCGACCUGAGAGGGUGAUCGGCCACACUGGAACUGAGACACGGUCCAGACUCCUACGGGAGGCAGCAGUAGGGAAUCUUCCGCAAAGGGCGAAAGCCUGACGGAGCAACGCCGCGUGAGUGAUGAAGGUCUUCGGAUCGUAAAACUCGGUUAUUAGGGAAGAACAAAUGUGUAAGUAACUAUGCACGUCUUGACGGUACCUAAUCAGAAAGCCACGGCUAACUACGUG
rnacentral:rRNA from 1 species